rnacentral:rRNA from 1 species
ACACGUCUACAUUAGAUACCCGGGUAGUCCCAGCCGUAAACUAUGCGCGUUAGGUGUAUCGGUGACCACGAGUUACCGAGGUGCCGAAGGGAAACCGUGAAACGUGCCGCCUGGGAAGUACGGUCGCAAGGCUGAAACUUAAAGGAAUUGGCGGGGAGCACCACAACGGGUGGAGCCUGCGGUUUAAUUGGACUCAACGCCGGGAAGCUCACCGGAUAAGACAGCGGAAUGAUUGCCGGGCUGAAGACUCUGCAUGACUAGCUG